rnacentral:tRNA from 4 species
GCGGCGGUAGUUCAAUGGUAGAACAUCAGCCUUCCAAGCUGAUUACGCGGGUUCGAUUCCCGCUCGCCGCUCCA